rnacentral:rRNA from 1 species
UACAGAGGUGGCGAGCGUUGUUCGGAUUUACUGGGCGUAAAGGGUGCGUAGGUGGUUUCGUAUGUCGGAUGUGAAAUGCCAUGGCUUAACUAUGGAAUUGCAUUCGAAACUGCGGAGCUAGAGUGCGGGAGAGGAGAGCGGAAUUCUUGGUGUAGCGGUGAAAUGCGUUGAUAUCAAGAAGAACACCGGUAGCGAAGGCGGCUCUCUGGAACGUAACUGACGCUGAGGCACGAAAGCUGGGGGAGCAAACAGG